CAAGAACAGAGGAUACCGAAAAAGCCAAACAAAGAGCGCUGUGAGAGCCGAACGAGCGCCCCUUUUCCCACCCCUUUUAUGCAGACGGCACGACUAUUGGUCACCGUGUUGCUUGUCCUGCUCUUAGUGGCGGACUGCUGUGUCAUUCACGUGUCUGUGUACUCUCCACAGGGGUUCGUGCGGCCGCACUGAAUCGCUUUCCUGUUGCAGGUUUUUUUUUUUUUUUUUUUUUUUUUGCGGCAAAUUAAAGAAUCGGAAGACGGCGCAUGAAGGGUCACAGGGAGCCAGAGCCUACCCAGCAACACAGGGUGUAAGGCUGGAGGGGAGGAGACACACCCAGGAUGGGACACCAGUCCAUCACAAGGCACCCCAAGCAGGACUUGAACCCCAGACCCACUGGAGGGCAGGACCUGGUCCAACCUGCUGCGCCACUGUGCCACCAUGCCCCCCACAUGGACUAAGACAUGGCCUGCAAAUAAGUGUAAUGUGUAAGCACUGCAUUGAGAUGGCAAAGUCUGCGGACAGACCACAGGGAGCUUCCUUGCAAACGCCCUUCCGUAGCCCUGCCUUCUCCCCCAAAUGCGCUCUUCCCGUCCUGGCUGGGAGUACGUUGGCUUGGCUGUGCUCUCUCUCUUGGCCGGUCGUGACCUAUCUCAUCAUCUAUACUUAUGGCCACUGUAAAAAAAGUCAUAAAAUACACAGUGCAUGUCAGCCACUUUGCUUUCUUUGGUGUCUCAAUGUUAAUCGUUCCAUAGGUUUGCUGAGAACUGCAAAGAAGCUCUUUUUGUGGAGCAUUCUUACCGGUGGGACUUUUCCUUCUCAAUAAGCUGUGAAGAAAUGGUGGCUGUUCCAAAAAGUCCACCUUUCCGCUGCGCCAUGACUGCUGGUCUGAAAACUGACAAAUGAUCCUUAUGACCUCUUUGCUGAAGCUGACAGGGUUCUCUGCAACAUACGUGAGUCUAAUACAAAGCGCAGGGCUGCCCAGGUCAAAGUGCACCUGCUUCCCUGAAAGGUAGUCAUACAGAAAGGAAAAGUGUUUCUUUGAGAGAGACCACAGCAUCUUCCUGAUUUUUCUGUCUAGCUGCCACUGAACAAGCGUUCUCUCUAGCCGGAGUAAACGCAGUGAAGGACAACUGCUUCUCUGACAAAUGCCAUGCCCUUCUGAACACUUCACUGCGGCUCCUGCACCAGCUUCUAGAAAAAUUUGCAGAACAGUGUUAGUAUUAGCUUGUUAAAAUAUUGUCAAAUCAGAGCAAUUAAAUCUUUUUGUAGUGAAGACUGUUUAAUGAAAUACAUAUUCAAGAUGAGGCUAACUGAGUUGUUGCUGAAUAUUAUGAUAAAGAUGUCAUUUUGUAGUGCAUAUGCAGGGCAUAGUGAUUAUUCUAUUCUGAAUGUGCACACUUAUUUCUCUUUCUUGUUGCUGAGAUAGGACUAAAUUGACUUUACUUUGGAGACUUGAUAUGCUGUCUUGUCUGAUGGUGGAACUUCGUGGAAGUACUUUACUCAAGGGCACUAUGACAGCAUGUGGGAUUCAAACCUGCACCUUUUAGAACUUGCUGCCCCAGGACAGUGUUGAUGUCAGAAACCCGUGGAUUAUGUGUUACCUGUGGGUGCUGAGACACAAUCCCACACACACACAUAUAGACCAUUGUCUCUCUCUGACCUG
ensembl:lncRNA